GUCUUCUCUUACGCAGAGAAACAGAAACAGAAAGGAAAAGAAGUCUCUCUCUCUCUCUCGCUCUCUCGCUCCCCCUCCCCCUCUAUCUGUGAUUGUUUAGAAAUAGAUCUCUCGAGUCCUCGAGCCCAGCGACUGGGUUAAUUAUAAUGCUGAGAUUUUUAAAAGGAGUGGUAGGUGGUGCAUCUGGUACUGGGCUUAAAGAUCUCCCUUACAAUAUCGGCGAUCCUUAUCCCUCCGCUUGGGGCUCCUGGACUCACCAUCGCGGCACCUCCUCCAAGGAUGAUGAUGGAUCUCCGGUGUCCAUCUUUUCUUUUUCUGCAAGUAACGCACAGGAUGCCCAUUUAGCUGCUGCUCGUAAUGGUGUCAAGCGUCUUCGUACUGUCAGACAUCCAAAUAUUCUGUCAUUUCUUCACAGUACUGAAGUUGAAAGUGUUGAAGGUUCUAGCUCGAGAAUUACUAUUUAUAUAGUAACUGAGCCUGUUAUGCCGCUAUCUGAGAAGAUUAAGGAACUAGGUUUAGAAGGAACACAAAGGGAUGAGUAUUACGCUUGGGGGCUGAACCAGAUAGCCAAAGCUGUGAGCUUUUUGAAUAAUGAUUGUAAACUUGUUCACGGUAAUGUUUGUUUGGCCAGUGUCGUUGUCACACCAACAUUAGACUGGAAGUUGCAUGCUUUUGAUGUUCUAUCCGAGUUUGACGGAAGCAAUGGGAAUGCAACCGGACCAAUGCUGCAAUAUGAAUGGCUUAUUGGAUCACAAUAUAAACCAAUAGAGUUGGCCAAGUCUGAUUGGGUGGCAAUCAGAAAAUCUCCUCCUUGGGCCAUUGAUUCUUGGGGCUUGGGAUGUCUUAUAUAUGAACUAUUUACUGGUAUGAAGUUGGGGAAAACAGAAGAGCUGCGUAACACUGCUUCCAUUCCAAAGUCUUUACUUCAGGAUUAUCAGCGCCUAUUGAGUUCUAUGCCUUCUCGCAGGAUGAACACAGCAAAGCUUCUAGAAAAUAGUGAAUACUUCCAGAAUAAGUUGGUGGACACCAUACAUUUUAUGGAAAUUCUUACUUUGAAAGACAGUGUUGAGAAGGACACCUUCUUCCGCAAACUUCCAAAUUUAGCAGAGCAACUUCCUCGCCAAAUUGUACUGAAAAAGUUACUUCCUUUAUUAGCUUCUGCCCUUGAAUUUGGUUCUGCUGCUGCCCCUGCUUUGACUGCGUUGUUGAAAAUGGGUUCUUGGCUUUCAGCUGAAGAAUUUAGUGUCAAGGUGUUACCGACUAUUGUGAAGCUUUUUUCCUCCAAUGAUCGAGCUAUUCGUGUUAGUCUCCUGCAACAUAUUGAUCAAUUUGGAGACUCAUUGUCAGCACAAGUAGUCGAUGAGCAAGUUUACUCUCAUGUUGCUACCGGGUUCUCUGAUACAUCUGCUUUGCUUCGUGAAUUGACUCUUAAAUCCAUGCUGGUUUUGGCGCCUAAGCUUUCUCAACGUACUAUUUCAGGCUCCUUGUUGAAAUAUCUUUCAAAGUUACAGGUUGAUGAAGAGCAUGCAAUUAGAACAAAUACCACCAUAUUACUUGGGAAUAUCGCAAUCUAUUUGAAUGAAGGGACAAGGAAGAGAGUUUUAAUUAAUGCUUUUACAGUCCGUGCACUGCGUGAUACUUUUCCUCCUGCCAGAGGAGCAGGAGUAAUGGCUUUGUGUGCCACUAGUUCUUAUUAUGAUGUCACUGAGAUCGCAACUCGGAUUCUUCCAAAUGUUGUUGUACUUACCAUUGAUCCUGACAGUGAUGUUCGAUCAAAAUCGUUUCAAGCAGUUGAACAGUUUAUGCAAAUAGUGAAGCAAUACCAUGAGAAGACAAAUGUUGGAGAUACAACAGCUGCAAGCACAAGAAUCUCAUCAAUACCAGAAAAUGCUAGUUUACUUGGAUGGGCCAUGAGCUCCUUGACAAUCAAAGGUAAACCUUUGGAACAAGCUCCACUUGCUCCUGCAAAUUCUGGCUCCCCUCUAUCUUCCACAACCUCCAAUGCCAACUCAGUGAUGGACUCUCCAAGUAUAGCAGCAGUCCAGAUAAAUUCCAGCACAGACUUGGCUGAUCAACCUGUACCGGAUUCCCCUCCUUCAACAGAUGGCUGGGGGGAAAUUGAAAAUGGAAUUCAUGAAGAGCAGGGCAGUGACAAAGAUGGGUGGGAUGAUAUUGAACCUUUUGAAGAGCCAAAGCCUUCUCCAGCUCUUGUGAACAUUCAAGCAGCUCAAAAGCGGCCGGUCUCACAGCCAGUUUCUCAGCAUAAAGCGCAAGCUACAAGUUUGCGACCAAAAAGUACAGUGAAGGUGACAAAUGAUGAAGAUGAUGAUUUAUGGGGUUCUAUAGCUGCCCCUGCUCCAAAAACCACGACAAGACCUUUGAAUGUCAAAUCAGCUACAGCACUUGAUGAUGAUGACCCCUGGGCUGCUAUCGCUGCUCCUCCGCCUACUACUAGGGCCAAACCAUUGGUAGCUGGUAGAGGCCGAGGUAAACCUGCUGCUUCAAAAUUGGGCGCACAAAGGAUAAACCGGACGUCCUCAUCUGGGAUGUAAUUCAGGGACAGAGAACACGAGGAAGCAAAAUGAAGUUUGUAAAAAAAAAAAAUUCUGGUGGCUGGUUGACAUUAAAAUGGAAUAGAUCCUAGUUGACGUGCAUGGACCAAAGCGAGUUUAAAAUCCAUCUUUAGUAGCACCUGUCACUGUUGCAUAAGGAACAAGAGGAAUCAAUGUCUUGACUCGCGGAUGGAAAAGGUUUAUUCCUCUUGGUUUAUGUUGUGAAUAUUGCUUUUAUAGUUGGGAGAGUAGCAAAUUUUCAAUUUUCACAGCCAUCUGUCUCGAAUAAUUUGGUGAAAAAGAGGAUUUCCGAGUAGCCAGAUGCAGAAUGAUGCUCCUGUGUAGUAAAUAAAUGGAUUUUAGAUAAUCUUUCCCUUGUAUGAGCCAAUAUGCAACGGGUUCUGUGUAUAAACUAUAGUUUGGAAAUUGUUACUCCUGGGAAUUAGUAGCUGUAAAUACUUCCAGUCGAGGAAUAGCAAAAUUGUUUUUGGGGGGUUCAAAAAUUGAUCGUGCCCUAGUUUUGGAUAACUUUGCGAGUAAAGCUAAUCUCCUCCUUAAUCCUUGUAACCUGAAACGAUGGAAAAUGAAAGCCAUGCCAUGCCAAGCUGCUAAUCCACAGGUUUUUCUAGUGAACUAAGCCGAUGUUGCUUCUUUAUCCUGCGGUUCCAUUUGUCCCUCAAAUUCGAUGAAACUAAGAUUUUCAUAGCCUCAAUCAGUUUCUUCCAUUGGUACGCAUUGAUAUGCCAUAAUCAUUGCCUGUCAUACAGUGACGAGAUGGAAAAACAGUGCUAUAUUCUGCACUGGUCUUCCUUGUGCUUCUUCAGACGGUGAAAGCUGCUGGCCAGAUCAACCUGGACAACAUAGUUGCUUCUAACCAGAUCCUCCCGACCAGAGUAGUUGCUUCCUUGCUCAAAUCAGUUCAUGUUGCUCAAACCAGAUCUUCAAAUGGUAUCUCUUCUGCUUUCUUGCGCACAAGGACACUUGUGAUGGAGACAGCAUCUGGAAACAAGCCUACCUCGUUCCGAGCACAUGGUCAACAGAGCACUCUGUAAAGCAACAUUACUCUGAACAGGUCUUUUUUUUCUUACUCUGUAUGAAUCAAACUACCAAAAUCAUAUGAACCAACCGAACUGCAAGAUGAUAGAACAUCUGUCACUGUAAGGGAAUCAGUGGGAAUCUUAAGCAACUUCAUCUGUUUGUAAAUUUUCGAAACAUUUGGAAGCACAUCCAUUAACAACAUAUGCCGAGAUAAUUGCAUUCCACAA